UCCUUGCAUUCUUUAACUAAAUUUCGGAUCGGAUGGCCCAUGGGCUUUCUGAUACGCCACUCGACGUAUCAACUACAGAUAAGCUAUCUGAGUUUAUCUCCGCGUUCAGAUCAAGUGAGGUCCUCCCGUUCGUGCGAACUCAGUCAACAGAGAAGCUGCUCCCAUGACUGCUAGGGUUUCAGCUGCAAAAGCGGACGGGGCUCGCUCCUCCUUGGCGAAUCCAGCAACCAGCAAAGCCGGAGUCGUCGCGGCAUAACCCGGCGACGGAGCACGCCGCUGGCGCAUCCACCCAGGAGCCGUCGACAUUAAAUCGCAGAGCGCCCUUCUCCGGUGGUGUCCAUCGCCCAUGUACCGAGCUUCUGCCUUUGUUCGAAUUCGACGAGGAUGGGUGCCAUCUUGCAAAGGAAUUGUUCGGGGCGACUGCAUCGUCAAUGAUCGUGCAUGGAUUGGGUCUCCGCGACUGGAAAACGAAGCAAUUUCGCACCUUCCAUACCAGCCAGAGUACACCAGUGACCAACUCACGCGUGGUAAACAUGUGCUCUGUGGUCUCCGGGGGGCAUGGUGACAAAAGGGGCAAAGCGGGUCAGGAAAGAGUUUUCUUUUGAACAUAUUUUCUUUAGUGGGUUAGUGCGUUUCGGCACGUGCUCCACAUGAAGAAUCGAAUCUUGGGGUAGGAUGAUAGCUUCCAAAUCAUAGUCCAUAGGGCUCGGGGUGGCGACAAAAGAGGCGAAGCGGGUCAAGAUAAGAGUUUUCUUUUGAACAUAUUUUCUUUAGGACUUGAUAUGUAACAAUCUCGUAGAUAAAAACUAUAUGGACCGUUGGAUGUCAUACAUUUAUUGUUUUGCAACCA